rnacentral:rRNA from 1 species
AUAUUGGACAAUGGACGAAAGUCUGAUCCAGCAAUAUCGCGUGGGUGAUGAAGGCCCUUUUGGUUGUAAAGCCCUUUUGUCGAGGAUGAUAAUGACAGUACUCGAAGAAAAAGUCCCGGCUAACUCCGUGCCAGCAGCCGCGGUAAUACGGGGGGGACUAGUGUUAUUCGGAAUGACUGGGCGUAAAGGGUGUGUAGGCGGUUUUAAAAGUUGAAAGUGAAAUCCCAAAGCUUAACUUUGGAAGUGCUUUCAAAACUAAAAAACUAGAGUAUCAAAUAGGAUAGUGGAAUUUCUUGUGUAGAAAUAAAAUGCAUAGAUAUAAGAAGGAACACCAAAAGCGAAGGCAACUAUCUGAUUGAAAACUGACGCUGAGACACGAAAGCAUGGGGAGCAAACAGG